rnacentral:rRNA from 1 species
CCUACGGGUGGCAGCAGUGGGGAAUUUUGGACAAUGGGGGCAACCCUGAUCCAGCCAUUCCGCGUGAGUGAAGAAGGCCUUCGGGUUGUAAAGCUCUUUUGUCAGGGACGAAACGGUUACGACUAAUACUCGUGACUACUGACGGUACCUGAAGAAUAAGCACCGGCUAACUACGUGCCAGCAGCCGCGGUAAUACGUAGGGUGCAAGCGUUAAUCGGAAUUACUGGGCGUAAAGCGUGCGCAGGCGGUUUUGUAAGCCAGAUGUGAAAUCCCCGGGCUUAACCUGGGAAUGGCAUUUGGGACUGCAAGGCUAGAGUACGGCAGAGGAGACUAGAAUUCCUGGUGUAGCAGUGAAAUGCGUAGAUAUCAGGAGGAAUACCGAUGGCGAAGGCAGGUCUCUGGGCUGAUACUGACGCUCAUGCACGAAAGCGUGGGGAGCAAACAGGAUUAGAUACCCCAGUAGUC